AGUGAACGCUGGCGGUAGGCCUAACACAUGCAAGUCGAACGGCAGCACAGUAAGAGCUUGCUCUUACGGGUGGCGAGUGGCGGACGGGUGAGGAAUACAUCGGAAUCUACUUUUUCGUGGGGGAUAACGUAGGGAAACUUACGCUAAUACCGCAUACGACCUACGGGUGAAAGCAGGGGAUCUUCGGACCUUGCGCGAUUGAAUGAGCCGAUGUCGGAUUAGCUAGUUGGCGGGGUAAAGGCCCACCAAGGCGACGAUCCGUAGCUGGUCUGAGAGGAUGAUCAGCCUCACUGGAACUGAGACACGGUCCAGACUCCUACGGGAGGCAGCAGUGGGGAAUAUUGGACAAUGGGCGCAAGCCUGAUCCAGCCAUACCGCGUGGGUGAAGAAGGCCUUCGGGUUGGAAAGCCCUUUUGUUGGGAAAGAAAAGCAGCAGGUUAAUACCCCGCUGUUCUGACGGUACCCAAAGAAUAAGCACCGGCUAACUUCGUG
rnacentral:rRNA from 1 species